rnacentral:rRNA from 1 species
CCUACGGGAGGCAGCAGUGAGGAAUAUUGGUCAAUGGACGAGAGUCUGAACCAGCCAAGUAGCGUGAAGGAUGACUGCCCUAUGGGUUGUAAACUUCUUUUAUAUGGGAAUAAAAUGUUCCACGUGUGGGAUUUUGUCUGUACCAUAUGAAUACGGAUAGGCUAACUCCGUGCCAGAUGCCGCGGUAAUACGGAGGAUCCGAGCGUUAUCCGGACUUAUUGGGUUUAAAGGGAGCGUAGGUGGAUUUUUAAGUCAGUUGUGAAAGUUUGCGGCUCAACCGUAGAAGUGCAGUUGAAACUGGCAGUCUUGAGUACAGUAGAGGUGGGCGGAAUGCGUGGUGUAGCGGUGAAAUGCUUAGAGAUAAGGAAGAACUCCGAUUGCGAAGGCAGUGCACUGGACUGCAACUGACGCUGAGGCUCGAAAGUGUGGGGAUCAAACAGGAUUAGAUACCCUAGUAGUC